ensembl:lncRNA
AUUUCUGAAAUAAUCAGAUCCAAUUUAUGGAAAUGCAUACAUUAAAAUAAAAUAAGACAUAGGUGGCCAUUGUAUUAAUAGUGGAAUUUGUGUAGAAAGUCCAUAAAAGUUGCUAGUUGUUUUUUUUUUGUUUGUUUUUUUAAUGGGAUACUUUAUUAGAUUCAUAUGAAAUUAGACCAUUUAUGCAUGAAUUUUACUUUUCUCACCAAAUUUGCCAAUGCCAUUGCAACUAACAAUGAUUCAUAUUAUGGACGUUUUCAGCCCUGGUUACAGUGUAAUGACAUGUGUUGUGGGAUGAAGGGGAAAUAGGGAGAUGUUCCUUUAAUGUNNNNNNNNNNNNNNNNNNNNNNNNNNNNNNNNNNCAUACGGCUGCUGAGACGGAGAGCGCCGAAGUGAAAAAGAUAACAUUGGGGGCAUCGUCCGGGAUCUUGUUCGUCGCAUUUGGUGAGUUAUAUGGACAAUCUGAAUUGUAAACUGAAACAGAUGUUAUCAGAGAGGGAGAGCAACAUGACGGAUUCUGGUGAAAGAGUUGGGAUGACGAGAAAAUACUCUCAGACAAAUAAGAGCAGUCAAUUGAACCAUGCUAUGUCUGUAAUGACGGAGAAUGAGGAAAAACGGACGCACAUCUCAUUCGCGGAUUGGUUAAAUGAAUUGGAAGUUAAAGUGUCCAAUAGUGGAAGUAAAAAUAAUCCGUUCAAGCAAAGUUUUGUUCCUUGCCCUCAAUCAGCUACAGUUAACGGACCUGCGCGUUGCUUUGAGCCGGGAAUACCACCACAGAUUAUGAGUGAAACCAACCCUUUCAAAAGUGUUGUGGAAAGUGAGUUUACAUGUGACAGUAGAAUUGACACACCAUGUUACAUACAGAGCACGCCAGCAAAUCUGAACUACUACCCACAAACUGUGUACAAAGACCUAACUGCUAAACCAAUGUCACCAAUUAAUCGCUUUCCACAUGAGAGUGGUACAGUCCAGCAUAGCGUUCCAGAGGCUGAAAAUAAAACUGCUUAUAUGAAUGCUGAUGAGAGUUGUUUUCCUGAGUUUAUAAGACAUCGCCUGCAGGGAAGAAAACCACGUCAGGCAUGUUAUGAUCUAUCAUCUGACAGUGGAGAGGAAUGCAGUACCCCAAGAGAAAGAAUUCCUACUCUCCGACCAGGUCAGUUUGAUGGAUCAAUGUCAUGGAGAGAGUUCUUAAAUCGGUUUGAGGAUUGUGCCAGAGCUAAUCACUGGUCUGAAAGGACAAUGACUGUGCAGAUGAGGUUUUGUUUGGUCGGAGCAGCAGGUGCAGUGAUACAUAAAAACCCCAGGUCGGGUAGAUGGGAUUAUGCUCGCAUUGUGGAGGAAAUGGAUGCCGCGUACGGCCCGUCAUCUGAGCACGCAGCUGCCAUUGGAAUAGAGCUGAGGCAGAGGGUCCGCAAGGCAGGUGAGCCGCUACAUGUGUUAAGAGAUGAUAUCUAUGAAAAAGUCUCCAUUGUCUAUGCAGAUCGCUCUGAAAGAGAGCAGGACUCCAUCAGCGUUGAAGUGUUCACUAACGCCAUGGGGGACGCUGACAUUGUGCAAAGACUGCUGGAAGAGCGCCCACGUACACUGUGUCGUGCUUACGAUAUUGCUCAUAGAUAUGAGACCACACGACGAACUGCCGCUAGUGUAACACAACUCAUGCAGUCGGCCACAAGGCCAA